UACGUAGGGGGCAAGCGUUGUCCGGAUUUAUUGGGCGUAAAGAGCGUGUAGGCGGCUAUACAGGUCCGCUGUGAAAACUCGAGGCUCAACCUCGAGACGUCGGUGGAAACCGUAUGGCUAGAGUCCGGAAGAGGAGAGUGGAAUUCCGUGUGUAGCGGUGAAAUGCGUAGAUAUACGGAGGAACACCAGAGGCGAAGGCGGAUCGCUGGGCCAACACUGACGCUGAGACGCGAAAGCUAGGGGAGCAAACGGG
rnacentral:rRNA from 1 species